UACGGAGGAUCCAAGCGUUAUCCGGAAUCAUUGGGUUUAAAGGGUCCGUAGGCGGUUUUAUAAGUCAGUGGUGAAAUCUGGUCGCUCAACGAUCAAACGGCCAUUGAUACUGUAGAACUUGAAUUACUUGGAAGUAACUAGAAUAUGUAGUGUAGCGGUGAAAUGCUUAGAGAUUACAUGGAAUACCAAUUGCGAAGGCAGGUUACUACAAGUACAUUGACGCUGAUGGACGAAAGCGUGGGGAGCGAGCAGG
rnacentral:rRNA from 1 species